UUGAACGCUGGCGGCAGGCCUAACACAUGCAAGUCGAACGGUAACAGGAAGCAGCUUGCUGCUUUGCUGACGAGUGGCGGACGGGUGAGUAAUGUCUGGGAAACUGCCUGAUGGAGGGGGAUAACUACUAGAAACGGUAGCUAAUACCGCAUAACGUCGCAAGACCAAAGAGGGGGACCUUAGGGCCUCUUGCCAUCGGAUGUGCCCAGAUGGGAUUAGCUAGUAGGUGGGGUAACGGCUCACCUAGGCGACGAUCCCUAGCUGGUCUGAGAGGAUGACCAGCCACACUGGAACUGAGACACGGUCCAGACUCCUACGGGAGGCAGCAGUGGGGAAUAUUGCACAAUGGGCGCAAGCCUGAUGCAGCCAUGCCGCGUGUAUGAAGAAGGCCUUCGGGUUGUAAAGUACUUUCAGCGGGGAGGAAGGGAGUAAAGUUAAUACCUUUGCUCAUUGACGUUACCCGCAGAAGAAGCACCGGCUAACUCCGUGCCAGCAGCCGCGGUAAUACGGAGGGUGCAAGCGUUAAUCGGAAUUACUGGGCGUAAAGCGCACGCAGGCGGUUUGUUAAGUCAGAUGUGAAAUCCCCGGGCUCAACCUGGGAACUGCAUCUGAUACUGGCAAGCUUGAGUCUCGUAGAGGGGGGUAGAAUUCCAGGUGUAGCGGUGAAAUGCGUAGAGAUCUGGAGGAAUACCGGUGGCGAAGGCGGCCCCCUGGACGAAGACUGACGCUCAGGUGCGAAAGCGUGGGGAGCAAACAGGAUUAGAUACCCUGGUAGUCCACGCCGUAAACGAUGUCGACUUGGAGGUUGUGCCCUUGAGGCGUGGCUUCCGGAGCUAACGCGUUAAGUCGACCGCCUGUGGAGUACGGCCGUACGGUUAACACCCAAAUCAACUCACGCGGGCUCGCACAAGCGGUGGAGCAUGUGGUUUAAUUCGAUGCAACGCGAAGAACCUUACCUGGUCUUGACAUCCACGGAAGUUUUCAGAGAUGAGAAUGUGCCUUCGGGAACCGUGAGACAGGUGCUGCAUGGCUGUCGUCAGCUCGUGUUGUGAAAUGUUGGGUUAAGUCCCGCAACGAGCGCAACCCUUAUCCUUUGUUGCCAGCGGUCCGGCCGGGAACUCAAAGGAGACUGCCAGUGAUAAACUGGAGGAAGGUGGGGAUGACGUCAAGUCAUCAUGGCCCUUACGACCAGGGCUACACACGUGCUACAAUGGCGCAUACAAAGAGAAGCGACCUCGCGAGAGCAAGCGGACCUCAUAAAGUGCGUCGUAGUCCGGAUUGGAGUCUGCAACUCGACUCCAUGAAGUCGGAAUCGCUAGUAAUCGUGGAUCAGAAUGCCACGGUGAAUACGUUCCCGGGCCUUGUACACACCGCCCGUCACACCAUGGGAGUGGGUUGCAAAAGAAGUAGGUAGCUUAACCUUCGGGAGGGCGCUUACCACUUUGUGAUUCAUGACUGGGGUG
rnacentral:rRNA from 1 species